rnacentral:rRNA from 1 species
AAACAAGCCGCUGCUACCGUGCGAGUCGAGCGGUAACAGGGGUAGCUUGCUACCCGCUGACGAGCGGCGGACGGGUGAGUAAUGCAUAGGAAUCUGCCCGAUAGUGGGGGAUAACCUGGGGAAACCCAGGCUAAUACCGCAUACGUCCUACGGGAGAAAGGGGGCUCCGGCUCCCGCUAUUGGAUGAGCCUAUGUCGGAUUAGCUAGUUGGUAAGGUAAUGGCUUACCAAGGCAACGAUCCGUAGCUGGUCUGAGAGGAUGAUCAGCCACAUCGGGACUGAGACACGGCCCGAACUCCUACGGGAGGCAGCAGUGGGGAAUAUUGGACAAUGGGGGCAACCCUGAUCCAGCCAUGCCGCGUGUGUGAAGAAGGCCCUCGGGUUGUAAAGCACUUUCAGCGAGGAAGAACGCCUAUCGGUUAAUACCCGGUAGGAAAGACAUCACUCGCAGAAGAAGCACCGGCUAACUCCGUGCCAGCAGCCGCGGUAAUACGGAGGGUGCAAGCGUUAAUCGGAAUUACUGGGCGUAAAGCGCGCGUAGGUGGCUUGAUAAGCCGGUUGUGAAAGCCCCGGGCUCAACCUGGGAACGGCAUCCGGAACUGUCAGGCUAGAGUGCAGGAGAGGAAGGUAGAAUUCCCGGUGUAGCGGUGAAAUGCGUAGAGAUCGGGAGGAAUACCAGUGGCGAAGGCGGCCUUCUGGACUGACACUGACACUGAGGUGCGAAAGCGUGGGUAGCAAACAGGAUUAGAUACCCUGGUAGUCCACGCCGUAUACGAUGUCGACCAGCCGUUGGGUGCCUAGAGCACUUUGUGGCGAAGUUAACGCGAUAAGUCGACCGCCUGGGGAGUACGGCCGCAAGGUUAAAACUCAAAUGAAUUGACGGGGGCCCGCACAAGCGGUGGAGCAUGUGGUUUAAUUCGAUGCAACGCGAAGAACCUUACCUACCCUUGACAUCUACAGAAGCCGGAAGAGAUUCUGGUGUGCCUUCGGGAACUGUAAGACAGGUGCUGCAUGGCUGUCGUCAGCUCGUGUUGUGAAAUGUUGGGUAAGUCCCGUAACGAGCGCAACCCUUGUCCUAUUUGCAGCGAGUAUGUCGGGAACUCUAAGGAGACUGCGGUGACAAACGGAGAGGUGGGACGACGUCAGUCAUCAUGGCCUUACGUUAGGCUACAACCACGGUGCUAACAAUGGCCCG